CGUUGAAAAGUGAGCGGAUGAACUGAGGGUAGCGGAGAAAUUCCAAUCGAACCUGGAGAUAGCUGGUUCUCUCCGAAAUAGCUUUAGGGCUAGCCUCAAGUGAUGAUUAUUGGAGGUAGAGCACUGUUUGGACGAGGGGCCCCUCUCGGGUUACCGAAUUCAGACAAACUCCGAAUGCCAAUUAAUUUAACUUGGGAGUCAGAACAUGGGUGAUAAGGUCCGUGUUCGAAAGGGAAACAGCCCAGACCACCAGCUAAGGUCCCAAAAUAUAUGUUAAGUGGAAAAGGAUGUGGCGUUGCCCAGACAACUAGGAUGUUGGCUUAGAAGCAGCCAUCAUUUAAAGAGUGCGUAAUAGCUCACUAGUCGAGUGACACUGCGCCGAAAAUGUACCGGGGCUAAACAUAUUACCGAAGCUGUGGAUUGUCCUUUGGACAAUG
rnacentral:rRNA from 1 species